rnacentral:rRNA from 1 species
UACGGGGGGGGCAAGCGUUGUUCGGAAUUACUGGGCGUAAAGGGCUCGUAGGCGGCCAACUAAGUCAGACGUGAAAUCCCUCGGCUUAACCGGGGAACUGCGUCUGAUACUGGAUGGCUUGAGAUUGGGAGAGGGAUGCGGAAUUCCAGGUGUAGCGGUGAAAUGCGUAGAUAUCUGGAGGAAUACCGGUGGCGAAGGCGGCAUCCUGGACCGACAUUGACGCUGAGGAGCGAAAGCUAGGGGAGCAAACGGG